rnacentral:rRNA from 1 species
GACGAACGCUGGCGGCGUGCUUAACACAUGCAAGUCGAACGGAAAGGCCCUUCGGGGUACUCGAGUGGCGAACGGGUGAGUAACACGUGGGUGAUCUGCCCUGCACUUUGGGAUAAGCCUGGGAAACUGGGUCUAAUACCGAAUAGGACCACGCGCUUCAUGGUGUGUGGUGGAAAGCUUUUGCGGUGUGGGAUGGGCCCGCGGCCUAUCAGCUUGUUGGUGGGGUAAUGGCCUACCAAGGCGACGACGGGUAGCCGGCCUGAGAGGGUGACCGGCCACACUGGGACUGAGAUACGGCCCAGACUCCUACGGGAGGCAGCAGUGGGGAAUAUUGCACAAUGGGCGCAAGCCUGAUGCAGCGACGCCGCGUGAGGGAUGACGGCCUUCGGGUUGUAAACCUCUUUCAAUAGGGACGAAGCGUGAGUGACGGUACCUAUAGAAGAAGCACCGGCCAACUACGUGCCAGCAGCCGCGGUAAUACGUAGGGUGCGAGCGUUGUCCGGAAUUACUGGGCGUAAAGAGCUCGUAGGUGGUUUGUCGCGUUGUUCGUGAAAACUCACAGCUUAACUGUGGGCGUGCGGGCGAUACGGGCAGACUAGAGUACUGCAGGGGAGACUGGAAUUCCUGGUGUAGCGGUGGAAUGCGCAGAUAUCAGGAGGAACACCGGUGGCGAAGGCGGGUCUCUGGGCAGUAACUGACGCUGAGGAGCGAAAGCGUGGGGAGCGAACAGGAUUAGAUACCCUGGUAGUCCACGCCGUAAACGGUGGGUACUAGGUGUGGGUUCCUUCCUUGGGAUCCGUGCCGUAGCUAACGCAUUAAGUACCCCGCCUGGGGAGUACGGCCGCAAGGCUAAAACUCAAAGGAAUUGACGGGGGCCCGCACAAGCGGCGGAGCAUGUGGAUUAAUUCGAUGCAACGCGAAGAACCUUACCUGGGUUUGACAUGCACAGGACGCCGGCAGAGAUGUCGGUUCCCUUGUGGCCUGUGUGCAGGUGGUGCAUGGCAGUCGUCAGCUCGUGUCGUGAGAUGUUGGGUUAAGUCCCGCAACGAGCGCAACCCUUGUCCUAUGUUGCCAGCGGGUUAUGCCGGGGACUCGUAGGAGACUGCCGGGGUCAACUCGGAGGAAGGUGGGGAUGACGUCAAGUCAUCAUGCCCCUUAUGUCCAGGGCUUCACACAUGCUACAAUGGCCGGUACAAAGGGCUGCGAUGCCGUGAGGUGGAGCGAAUCCUUUCAAAGCCGGUCUCAGUUCGGAUCGGGGUCUGCAACUCGACCCCGUGAAGUCGGAGUCGCUAGUAAUCGCAGAUCAGCAACGCUGCGGUGAAUACGUUCCCGGGCCU